UGAAAAAGCAGUACUCUUAUUACAUGACAUUUCUUCUACUACUACUGCUAAUGAGAGUGAAUAAGUUUUCAUAUAAUUAUUAGGGUUUUUUUUCUACUUUGUAAAGUGUUUUUGCCUUUUGUACAUUUAUCUUUUGGGUGCAUAUAUUUUAUAAUUUUAAGUUAUUUAUACAAUAAAGGUAUUGAUAUGUUCCCAUUUUAAACCUCUUUACUAUAUUUAAAAUUUAUUAGUUUUAUAAAAUUUACUAAUUAAAGUAGCUUGUCUUAUUAUUACAAAAAGAACUGUGUAUUCUGAGGCUAGUCCUUCACUCUUCCUUCAAUCAAAUAAACUCCCCCAUUUGCUUCCACUCAGUUCCCUUUUGGCUUAAGUUGGUUAGUGUUGGUGUCUGUGGGCUACAACAAAGAACUCUAAUAAAACCCAGCAAUAAUCAAUUAAGGAGUGCAAUAAAAAGAAGCUGAUAUAUGUUAGCAACCAGAACCAUAAAAUAUCUAGGAAUAAACUUACGAGCAAGCAAGCUCAACCUCCAGGAAGAAGACUAUAAAUCUUUACUGAGGAUAUAGGAAAAAACCUGAAUGGAAGAGGAGUGUACACUUUUCCUGGUGAGAAGAACUGACUGUUGUGAAGAUAUCAAUAUUCCCCCAAAUGAUUGUAUAAAUUCAAAUACAUUCCAGUGGGAUAAUUUGAAAUAUGACCAUUUAGUGCAAAUGCAGAAAAAAAUAAUACAUGAGAGUAGCUAGAAACUUUUUGAAAAUUACAGCUUAAGGUAGUGAUUGAUUCAGCACCUUGUUUGUUAUUAGGGCAGAAUAGACAAGUAGAGUGGAAGAGUCUGGAGAUAAACCUGAGUAAAUAUGGGAACAGUAAAAGUGGCAUUUCCGAUCAACAGGAAAAGGCAUGGACUAUCCAAUAAAUCAUAUUUUGGAAUAGUUGCCUCUUGGCGUCCAAGACACCACACUCUACUAGCUUUCCCCCCUACUUUGCUGGCUGUUCCUUUUGUUUCAUUUAUUAGCUUCUAUUUCUCCAUCUAAGUGCACCAAAACUUGAAAUGGACCUCAAUGUUUUAUUUUUUAGAUCUACCUUAUCCAGGAAUCUGGCUUUAAAUGCCAACUCCAUGGAUGAGCCUGAAAUUUCUUUCUCUAGCCCUUGCCUAACUCCCAAAUCCUAGGGUCAUGCAUUAAACUGCCUAUUUGUUAUGAAACUUAAUAUUUCUAAACCAGAACAGGUAAUUCUCUUUCUACUACCACUCUCCCACACCACCACCAAACAUAUACAUCGAUCUCUAAGUUUUAGCUUUCCUAAUACUUCUUAUCUUAGUAAAUAACACCACUGUCCACCAAGUUGCUUAAUCAGAAAACCUAAGUCAUCUCUGAUUUCUGCUUUUCCUUCAACCUCCAACAUUCGCUCUACCAGCACAUCAAUGGGUUCUGCUCAAGAGAGAGUAAAAAUGGAUACUUAAGAACAUGAGCCCUAGAACCAAACUAUCUGGGUUCAGAUCCUGGUUUCACCAUUGCUCAAUUAUAUCACCAUGGAAAACCCACCUAUACUUAGUCAAGUUGUCAUAUGUAAAAAAAGGAUAAUGAUAUUGUCUAACUCACAGGGUAACAGUGGGGAUUAACGAGUUGUUAAGAGAUUAGAACAGUAGCUGAUACCUAUUACAUGUUCAAUAAAUGUCAGUUAUUACUGUCUUCAAAAUGUAAAUCAAAUCUUCUAAUUCUCUCCAUAUAUGUGUGUACCUCCCAGGUUCAAGCCACCAUCAUCCCUUCUAACUAACUGAUCUCCAACUUAAUUGCCCCACUGCUAUUCAUUCUUCACCCAGUAGUCAAGGGACCCUUUAAAAAUAUAAGCUGGAUCAGAUGUUCUCCUGUUUAACAUUUUUUUAAUAUUUAAUUUUUUUCUUAAAUGGCUGCACCCGUGGCAUGGAAAUUCCUGGGCCAGGGAUCCAAUCUGAGCUGCAGCUGCCACCUAUGCCACAGCUGUAGCAAGGCAUGAUCCUUAACCCAUUGCACUGGGCCAGGAAUUGAACCAACACUACUGCACGGACAACAUAUCCUCAACCUGCGGCACCACAGUGAGAACUCCUGCUUCUUGUUUAAUAAUUUUCACUGCCUUCUUGAACAUGGCCUGAAAGUCACUGCAUGAAUUAGCCCUGACCCAAUUCUCUGCCUCCUAUGGUAAUAUUCUUCAUCUCACUCACUUCACUCUAUCCACAGGAGUAUCAUUCUGUUCCUUGAGUACAUUAAGCUUGCUUCAGAGCCUUUGCCUGUGUUUGGCCCUCUGACUAGAACAUUCUUUUCUUGGCUCUUCCAAUGACUAGAUCUUCAUCAUUAAAAUGUUAAUGUACCAUCUUAGAGGCACUUUCCCAGACUAUAUUCUCAGGUGUUUAAUAAUUUUGUAAUAAAUUGGUGAAUUAC
rnacentral:lncRNA from 1 species